rnacentral:lncRNA from 1 species
UGAGUAUCAACAUGUCUGUUAGUUGACAAUAAAAUUCAAAUUAGGGAUAUUUUUGUAAUACUCUUUUAUGCUACGUGUCAUUUCUAUUGUUCUCAAUAACCUGCAUCAGCUAUCCUUUUGCCUCUCUGUCACUACUGUGUCUAUCUUCUCCACUGCACAACACAAUACAAGCCAUAGAAGACCACUCACAAUUCCAACAUUCUUAUUAGUUUCCUUUUAAUCUAAGAACUCAAAUCUACUUGGAGUUAUAUACAGAAAAUUGAGUGUUUUUUUUAAAAAUCAGAUUUUAGGCCGAGGUUUAAUUUGAGUUUCACUCAACGAUUUUGGCAUAGUGAAGAAAAGCAGAUAUCCAUGUGAGUAUUUUGUAUGAAAUUGGAUAUUUAAUGUUCUUGCAUGUGAGUAUUUUGUCAUAUUUGCUUUAAUUUUGUUUCAAUUGUUGUUGAAAGUUAUAGAAUUGCAGAUUUAUUUUCUCAAUAUAUAAUUUAUUAGAUCUUCUGAGACUUUCGAUAGUUUAUACUAAUUAUAUACUAGCUAACUGAUGAUUAGCAUGAGUCUCCACUUUAUUCUUGCUUUCAUUUCGAUUCAUAAUUUUCCUAGCUGUUAACACUUUGUUCUCAUAGUGUCUUAUUCAGUCAAAUGAACAUGCAUUGUUUCGAAAUUUUGCUUCAAUAAAGAAAAAAAAAAUGGGCUAGAAAUAAACUGAACUCUGGAUUUAACCUUCGAUUUAUUUUCAUUUCUUACAAUUGCUUUAUUUAUGCCUCUAACCAAGGUAGGAAUAUUAUUAUAUUUUCUCUUUGUUCUUACAGAGUUUUAAGCUAAUUCAUUUCAUUUUUACUCUUUGAUCAUUUGAGGGUGUGGAAAAAUUUCGUUGGAAUUUUGGGAUUAUGAAUAUUUAUUUUAAAAUGUUCCUUUUUACUUGAACCAUUUGAACAUUAUUAUCAACUAACAAGGAAUGGACUUGCUUUCAUGGUUAAUAGGUAAUCUUCAUGUCAGUUAUAACUAAUAACUAAAAAGAUUUUUGUCCUUCUGUUAUAUGAAUGUGAUUUUCAUGGCUAUGGCCUAUGUAUUAACUGAAUAAUUUGAUUCCAAUUAAGAAAAAGCGAGUAAUUUGCUGAGAACUUUAAUGACCGUUUAGAAAUCUAUUUGUCGUUGGUACAAAUGCACAGAUUGAGCUUGAGCUUAUUAAAGUUGUAGCAUCAAAUAUGUAGUAGUGGUGGAAAUAUUUGGGAAAAUCUACUUGCAAUUAUAUUCGAACUUGUUGGUUUCACUAAAAGUUUAUUCAAAGAUAUUUUCCCAACCAUUUACACAACUAUAUGCACUCAAGGCUAUUACGUACUAUAUUUUGUUGCAAAUAGGUAAAUGCCAAAUGAUGAGGAGACAUUUGGAUGGAUGAAAUUGUGUAAGGCCAUUUGUGGGUGGACAGGCACGUCUACAAGAUUUUGACUUCUUCAUCUAAUGAAGUUUGUACAACUUAGGGAGUAUAGAUGUUUAAUGAGAAUCUCUGUUUAAUUAAGUUCCUUUUCAAUGUUCCUUUACGAAAUUUACAUUUUAGUUUGAUUAUGUCUGAUUGCAAACUUAAUCAUGAUCCGCAAAUUUAUAAUUUUGAUCCAAACAUGUAAAAAGUACUCCAA